AUGCUCCGAGAAAAAAUCCUUUCUUUCUCGUCCACUCAAGGGGGUGCAGACACACCUGCGCGAAUUACAGGUGACGAUUACAAGAAUGGCGGGGAAGUGAAGAGUACCCGACGACAUUCAGGGAUGAAUGUAGACCCAUCGGGCGGGGAUAAUCAUUCCGGUCCUGGGAUAGAUCAAGACGCUUAA
rnacentral:rRNA from 1 species